rnacentral:rRNA from 1 species
AGAGCGAACGCUGGCGGCAUGCUUAACACAUGCAAGUCGCACGGGCAGGGGAAACCCUGUCAGUGGCGGACGGGUGAGUAACGCGUAGGUAUCUAUCCUUGGGUGGGGGACAACUGUGGGAAACUACAGCUAAUACCGCAUGAUAACUGAGGUUUAAAGGCGCAAGUCGCCUGGGGAGGAGCCUGCGUACGAUUAGCUAGUUGGUGGGGUAAAGCCUACCAAGGCUGCGAUCGUUAGCUGGUCUGAGAGGAUGAUCAGCCACAUUGGGACUGAGACACGGCCCAAACUCCUACGGGAGGCAGCAGUGGGGAAUAUUGGACAAUGGGCGAAAGCCUGAUCCAGCAAUGCCGCGUGUGUGAAGAAGGUCUUCGGAUUGUAAAGCACUUUCGACGGGGACGAUGAUGACGGUACCCGUAGAAGAAGCCCCGGCUAACUUCGCGCCAGCAGCCGC